CAGAGUCGCAAUACUCCGUAAACCAUUGUGAACGUUACCUUAACCGUUGCUUCGGCGGGCGGCGCCCGGGCCUCACCGCCCGCGGCGCCCCCAGGCCCCCCGUGGGCGCCCGCCGGAGGUACACCAAACUCUUGCAUUGUAUGGCCUCUCUGAGUAUUCUGUACUGAAUAAGUCA
rnacentral:misc_RNA from 1 species